GACGUAGGGCGCGAGCGUUGUCCGGAUUUAUUGGGCGUAAAGAGCUCGUAGGCGGCUUGUCGCGUCGUCCGUGAAAACUUGGGGCUCAACCCCAAGCUUGCGGUCGAUACGGGCAGGCUAGAGUUCGGUAGGGGAGACUGGAAUUCCUGGUGUAGCGGUGAAAUGCGCAGAUAUCAGGAGGAACACCGGUGGCGAAGGCGGGUCUCUGGGCCGUAACUGACGCUGAGGAGCGAAAGCUAGGGGAGCGAAUGGG
rnacentral:rRNA from 1 species